UAAUACGUAGGUGGCGAGCGUUGUCCGGAUUUAUUGGGCGUAAAGCGCGCGCAGGCGGUGCGGUAAGUCUGUCGUGAAAUCUCCCGGCUCAACUGGGAGGGUGCGGUGGAGACUGCCGGACUGGAGGCACUCAGAGGCCGGUGGAAUUCCCGGUGUAGUGGUGAAAUGCGUAGAGAUCGGGAGGAACACCAGUGGCGAAGGCGGCCGGCUGGGGGUGACCUGACGCUGAGGCGCGAAAGCGUGGGGAGCGAACCGGAUUAGAUACCCGGGUAGUCCACGUUGUAAACGAUGGCCACUAGAUGUGGGGGGUAUCGACCCCCUCCGUGUCGGCGCUAACGCAGUAAGUGGCCCGCCUGGGGAGUACGGCCGCAAGGCUA
rnacentral:rRNA from 1 species